rnacentral:rRNA from 1 species
UACGGGGGGGGCAAGCGUUGUUCGGAAUUACUGGGCGUAAAGGGUUUGUAGGUGGCUUGCUAAGUCAGACGUGAAAUCCCUCAGCUUAACUGGGGAACUGCGUCUGAUACUGGUGAGCUUGAGUGCAGGAGAGGAACGCGGAAUUCCAGGUGUAGCGGUGAAAUGCGUAGAUAUCAGGAGGAACACCAGCGGCGAAGGCGGCGCUCUGGGCCGGAACUGACGCUGAGGAGCGAAAGCGUGGGGAGCAAACAGG